UCUGCCCCUAGAAGCACUGCAGGUGCAGGCGUAUCUGCUGUUCACAUGUGCAUCAAAAGGUGGCAGACAGGAGAGCUCUGACCCAUGAACAUC
rnacentral:snoRNA from 1 species